rnacentral:rRNA from 1 species
AGCAGCCGCGGUAAUUCCAGCUCCAAUAGCGUAUAUUAAAGUUGUUGCAGUUAAAAAGCUCGUAGUUGAAUUUCGGGAUCAAUCUGCCGGUCGUGCCUCCGGUAUGCACUGGUUUUAUUGGUUUCUCCCUUCUGACGAAUCAUGAUGUCAUUAAUUUGGUGUCAUGGGGAAUCAGGACUGUUACUUUGAAAAAAUUAGAGUGUUUAAAGCAGGCUCACGCUUGAAUACAUUAGCAUGGAAUAAUGAAAUAGGACGUUUGACCCUAUUUUGUUGGUUUCUAGGAUCGACGUAAUGAUUAAUAGGGAUAGUUGGGGGCAUUAGUAUUCAAUUGUCAGAGGUGAAAUUCUUGGAUUUAUUGAAGACUAACUACUGCGAAAGCAUUUGCCAAGGAUGUUUUCAUUAAUCAAGAACGAAAGUUAGGGGAUCGAAGACGAUCAGAUACCGUCGUAGUCUUAACCAUAAACUAUGCCGACUAGGGAUCGGAUGAUGUUAUUUUUUUAAUGACUCAUUCGGCACCUUA